CCUUAGAGUUUGAUCCUGGCUCAGGACGAACGCUGGCGGCGUGCUUAACACAUGCAAGUCGAACGGGGUGUUUAUUUCGGUAAACACCAAGUGGCGAACGGGUGAGUAACGCGUAAGCAAUCUACCUUCAAGAUGGGGACAACACUUCGAAAGGGGUGCUAAUACCGAAUGAAUGUAAGAGUAUCGCAUGAGACACUUACUAAAGGAGGCCUCUGACAUAAGCUUCCGCUUGAAGAUGAGCUUGCGUCUGAUUAGCUAGUUGGUGAGGGUAAAGGCCCACCAAGGCGACGAUCAGUAGCCGGUCUGAGAGGAUGAACGGCCACAUUGGGACUGAGACACGGCCCAGACUCCUACGGGAGGCAGCAGUGGGGAAUCUUCCGCAAUGGGCGAAAGCCUGACGGAGCAACGCCGCGUGAACGAUGAAGGUCUUAGGAUCGUAAAGUUCUGUUGUUAGGGACGAAGGAUAAGGAUUAUAAUACAGUCUUUGUUUGACGGUACCUAACGAGGAAGCCACGGCUAACUACGUGCCAGCAGCCGCGGUAAUACGUAGGCGGCAAGCGUUGUCCGGAAUUAUUGGGCGUAAAGGGAGCGCAGGCGGGAAACUAAGCGGAUCUUAAAAGUGCGAGGCUCAACCCCGUGAUGGGGUCCGAACUGGUUUUCUUGAGUGCAGGAGAGGAAAGCGGAAUUCCCAGUGUAGCGGUGAAAUGCGUAGAUAUUGGGAAGAACACCAGUGGCGAAGGCGGCUUUCUGGACUGUAACUGACGCUGAGGCUCGAAAGCUAGGGUAGCGAACGGGAUUAGAUACCCCGGUAGUCCUAGCCGUAAACGAUGGAUACUAGGUGUGGGAGGUAUCGACUCCUUCCGUGCCGGAGUUAACGCAAUAAGUAUCCCGCCUGGGGAGUACGGCCGCAAGGUUGAA
rnacentral:rRNA from 1 species